AUGCAUUUGUGUGUUUCCUCUUUGGAGAUAACUUUCUAGAGGGAUCAUAGCUGAGUCAAAGCUCUGGAGGAAAAGGGAACUUUUAAUUUAUGAAAAAUAUUCACAUUCAGUUUCUUUUAAAAUUAAGCCAUCCUAGCUGUCCCUGAAGUGUGUCAUGACAUAUUGCAGGAGCGUUUCCCGUUUCUCCUCCCUUCACUUUAGCUAUCGUCCGUGUGGAUAUGAGGGAUUUUCAAGGGACACAUUCUGUCUUUGUUAGUAUGAAGACAGAUAGGAUUUGUAUGGCUCUGCUCCUUUCUUCUAGUACUGGAAUCUAUGGUGAGUGACAUUGUCUAAGGAAGGAGGAGCUAGAGAGAUGGCUCAGUGGUUAAAUGGAAGGCUCCUUUUCUGAGAACUGGGCUUCAAUUCCAUCACCAAAACAGGGGCUUAUAAUUAUCCGUAGCUGCCAUCCCGUGGUAUCAGACAGUCUCUUCUAGCCUUCCCUGGCACCAGGUCUGCAUGUGGUCCACAGACACACACAGAAGCAGAACUUUAUAAUCAUAAGAAUCAAUCAAGCAAAUGAGUAAGUAAUUUGAAUAGAAAGGCUAUUUGAGAUUUUUCUCUUCUCUUUGGUCCUGGACAAGUAAAUGGUGCAGUUGGAUUUUUGUAUGACAACACAAAGAGGCCACUUUUGACGAGCGGCUUCCACAGAGCACACAAUUAUUAAGAGGCUGUUUCUCUUCUUGCCUUUCCAUCACUAAUUAUUAUUUAUGUUUGAUUCCAGUGCCUUCCCACUAUCUGUCAUUCUUGUCUGUGGAUAGUCUUUAGUAUAUGAGGAUUAUAAAAUACUUAUUCACAGAGACAAAAGUCCUGGAAGGAAAUGGUAUUUGAGAGAGCACAGUUUUUUCGUAUCAAUGUGCUAAAAGUAGGUCAUUUAUUUUUAUUAAUCUUUACCAUGAAUUUUGAUGAUCAAUGUGGAGAUUUACAUUUACACAUUAAUCGAGAUUGAGCAAUAAAAUGUUAAUUGGAUUAUUAAAGUCAGAUCCAGGAUUGAGAACCAUCUGUACUUCUUAUAGACCAUAUGAUCUUGGGAAAUUCAGAGUAAUUUUCUUGGGCAUCAAUUUCUUCAUGUGCAAAUGUUCGCAAGAUUGUUGUGUGGAUCGAGGAGAAAAUAUAAGCAAAGCCUUUUCGAGUGCUAUGUGCUGAAAGUUACAGUCAUAAGUGAGAAGUGGGCAAGCUUAGAAAAAUCAGCAAAAAAAAAAUUUCUUAUGUCCAGGUCCAACACUGAAUAUCACUGUGGAGUUUCAGAAAUGUUGUCUUUUAAGAAUUCAAUGAUGAGACAUUGUGAACUCCCAAGCUUCCUCUUAGACAGGGUAUCUCAAUGACUCAGUCUUCUUACUCUUAAUCAAAAUUACACGCAGUCUACCAGGGCCAGGGCCUCAGGUAGAAACAGAGGUGUACGGAAGGCAGGGCCGGAGGGGCUGGGAACGGUCAUGAAUGACAGCUCAAUGGAACUUACUUAUGAGGUAGUAGAAACCUGUGGGGCAGGCAAGUUGGGGGUGAGAUUCCAAAUAGGCUCAAUGAGAAGAUUAAAAAGUUCCCCAGUGAAACUGAAUUCAGAAACAUAAUCAUUUGGUGGCAACUACGCAUAGCAGUGUUUCCAAGGUAGAGGGAUGGCUUUUCAAGUUCCUAGAGAGGUCUUUACUGCUAUUGAUUUGGCUGAAGCCAGAGGCUUCUUAUUGUUACUGAGUUUCCCAGAUUCCUCACUGUCUACCUGACUGUGCACCAGACUCUGGCUCAUUGGGAGUAAGAAACCAUGCCAGAGGAAAGAUCAGCACAUCCCUGAGCCUUUAUCCACGAUACUGAGAGAUGGAGUGAUGUAUCUCAAACAGGUCUUUCAGUGUUGUCAUCGACGGUUCAGAGUAGGGUUGUGUGAGGAGAAGACAUCACAGGCCGCAAAGAAGAGGAAGAGGCUGAAACGGGGAGACUGUCACAGGGCAAGCAUGGAGCAGUGAGGUAUUAGGCUCAGGGAUGUAUAUUUAGAAUGGGGAGCAUGGCCAGAGGCAGAAGUGGUAUGGGAGAAGGUCAGCAUUCACUAUGAAGGAAAAGCUAGAAGGAAGGGCCCAGGGAUGUGUUAAAUUUCACAAUCCAGUAGGUGGGGGGCUGGGAAUAUCAUAACAGGACAUUCAGAAGACAAGAUUUGAGAAGCAGGGUGAAGAGAAGUGACAAUACAGGCCACUGGACAUGCGGAAUAAAUACACGGACUUUGAGAAAUGCAGAAUAAAUGCCCAGACUUUGAGAAUGGUAAGUAGGUUUGAAAGGUUUCUAUCCCCAAGGCCAAAUUAAAGCUUCGUGUUACAGAUUAUACAAUGAGAUGAACAUUUUCUUAUAAAAUGUAUUCAGAUUAAGGAAAUGCAAUAUGAGGGACCUUGUUCAGCCAGCAGCUUGCACUGGCUCAGUUGUCAUAGACCACAACAUGUCUGGCUGUGGCACUUAGUGAUUUUUGGUGAAUGAGUAAAUGGGAUUGCUGGCAGACCACGGAGCAGUAAUUUGCAUUAGGUUGGACCUGUCAGUUUGAGUAGAUACUCACUUUCUUGGCUUCAAUUCAAGUUGGCUGGAUAUUAGGAUAAACUGAGGACCCUUUACAAAACGUCCCAAAGCUAGGCUGAAACCCAUACCCAUUAAAUCCCUUAACCAUGGUGAUUUAAGCUUACAUAUAAGAUCAGAAAUACUGACAGAGCUUCCUCUUUGCAGGUGACAUUGUUCUCUGGGCCAUUGGCCCAUGGAGUUUCUUGUCCAUGUAUCCUUUCCCGGCAAACAGUCCACAUGUGUGCACAGUACGAAUAAAACCAUCAACGCAGUCAGAAUACUGCAAGGCUGUCUCGCACCUCUUCACACAGAGCAAGGCUGUGUGCUCUGACAGAUUUGCGCACUGCCUCACCUAGAUUCCAAAGUUUAAGAACUUAAUUUUCAACACCCAAAUGUUGAAAAAGUUCAUAUAAAUCUUAUUUAUCUUAAAAUAAAACCAGGAGUGAGUGAUGGGUCUUUACCCGUUGUCUAUUUUAGGAAUAAUGUGAACUAUCCAUCACCGUUUAUGUCCACAGUGGUUAGCUUUUUAUUCACUUGCCUGGCAUUCCUGACCUCUGUAGGCUCAGGAUUUGGGGGCUUUGGUUUGAUCUAAAUGGUGGUCUGAUGGCUUUUCACUGGAAGAAAAAGGAGACCCUCUGAUCAUCUUUGUAGAGAGGAAGAGACAGGCAGAGGGAAGAUGGAUAAAGGAACACAGUUUCAAAAUUAGUCUGGGAUCAGAAAGACUGGACAUGAAGGUGCUGUCUGGGACCGAGGGAAAAUGACAACAAACAAUUCGACCUUGAACUUACUUCAAGAUCCUGUACCCAGCACUGCGUUAAAAGCUCUAUUUCGGCACUCACUCGGAUUAAAGCACUGCUCAAAACACAGCCUUGCCAACUUGGCUCCAGGGGAGAAGCAGCCACUGGAACAAUGCAGGCAAUUUAAUCGUGUUGCAGAGAGGAGGAAGCCCGAGGAAGCUCUACCGGAAUGGAAUGUAAUUCCCCAGUCCCAACAGGAAAAGUGAAAGUGGGGCUGAGGUGGACGAAAGGCAACAUCCAAAGUGGCAUGAAAAUUAACCACCCAACUCAAUGAAUUAUCCACAAGAUAAUGGGACGAAUGUUUGCGAGUUAGACCAAAGAGCAAAAGCACAAAAGAGAGAAAUAAUUCAGACCUGUACAAUGAAACCUUCUUACUUCGCUGUCUCUGUUCAGGAUAGCAAAAUCUCAAGUCUCUCUCUUUCCACUUAGGUUCAGGUUUUGAAACUUGGUUGCUCCCUGUGGAAUUGAAGCCUGUGUAGACCAUCGUGCAUAGCCGUAUUCCAAAUACUGUUACCACUCAAACUCCUAGUUAUUCAGUUUGACCUGAAAUUAAAGAACAGAAUCGUUACAUGCUUAUUCAAAAUCAGUUCCCACUAUUUUAUAGAGCUAAAAAAAACACCCUUCGGUAUAAGCCAAGCUAGAGUUCGUAAUCAAGAUUACCAGAAUAAAAAGGAAUAGUCAUGUGUCUGCUCCCAUACGUCUCAUUCUAAAUAUGUGUUUUGGGCCACAUAUAAUAAAAUGUUAAUAAUAAUAUAUUAAUAAUAAAAUGUUCAUUGUC
rnacentral:sRNA from 1 species